rnacentral:rRNA from 1 species
GGCGGCGUGCUUAACACAUGCAAGUCGAACGAUGAAGCCCUUCGGGGUGGAUUAGUGGCGAACGGGUGAGUAACACGUGGGCAAUCUGCCCUUCACUCUGGGACAAGCCCUGGAAACGGGGUCUAAUACCGGAUAACACUCUGUCCCGCAUGGGAUGGGGUUGAAAGCUCCGGCGGUGAAGGAUGAGCCCGCGGCCUAUCAGCUUGUUGGUGGGGUGAUGGCCUACCAAGGCGACGACGGGUAGCCGGCCUGAGAGGGCGACCGGCCACACUGGGACUGAGACACGGCCCAGACUCCUACGGGAGGCAGCAGUGGGGAAUAUUGCACAAUGGGCGAAAGCCUGAUGCAGCGACGCCGCGUGAGGGAUGACGGCCUUCGGGUUGUAAACCUCUUUCAGCAGGGAAGAAGCGCAAGUGACGGUACCUGCAGAAGAAGCGCCGGCUAACUACGUGCCAGCAGCCGCGGUAAUACGUAGGGCGCAAGCGUUGUCCGGAAUUAUUGGGCGUAAAGAGCUCGUAGGCGGCUUGUUGCGUCGGUUGUGAAAGCCCGGGGCUUAACCCCGGGUCUGCAGUCGAUACGGGCAGGCUAGAGUGUGGUAGGGGAGAUCGGAAUUCCUGGUGUAGCGGUGAAAUGCGCAGAUAUCAGGAGGAACACCGGUGGCGAAGGCGGAUCUCUGGGCCAUUACUGACGCUGAGGAGCGAAAGCGUGGGGAGCGAACAGGAUUAGAUACCCUGGUAGUCCACGCCGUAAACGUUGGGAACUAGGUGUUGGCGACAUUCCACGUCGUCGGUGCCGCAGCUAACGCAUUAAGUUCCCCGCCUGGGGAGUACGGCCGC